AUUGAACGCUGGCGGAAUGCUUUACACAUGCAAGUCGAACGGUAGAGGGGGCAACCCCUCGAGAGUGGCGAACGGGUGAGUAAUAUAUCGGAACGUGCCCAGUCGUGGGGGAUAACGUAGCGAAAGUUACGCUAAUACCGCAUACGAUCUAAGGAUGAAAGCGGGGGAUCGCAAGACCUCGCGCGAUUGGAGCGGCCGAUAUCAGAUUAGGUAGUUGGUGGGGUAAAGGCUCACCAAGCCAACGAUCUGUAGCUGGUCUGAGAGGACGACCAGCCACACUGGAACUGAGACACGGUCCAGACUCCUACGGGAGGCAGCAGUGGGGAAUUUUGGACAAUGGGCGAAAGCCUGAUCCAGCCAUUCCGCGUGCAGGAUGAAGGCCCUCGGGCUGUAAACUGCUUUUGUACAGAACGAAAAGGUUUCUACUAAUACUAGGAGCUCAUGACGGUACUGUAAGAAUAAGCACCGGCUAACUACGUGCCAGCCGCCGCCGUAACAC
rnacentral:rRNA from 1 species